rnacentral:rRNA from 1 species
AUUGAACGCUGGCGGCAUGCUUUACACAUGCAAGUCGAACGGUAACAGGUUAAGCUGACGAGUGGCGAACGGGUGAGUAAUGCAUCGGAACGUGCCCGAUCGUGGGGGAUAACGCAGCGAAAGCUGCGCUAAUACCGCAUACGAUCUGAGGAUGAAAGCGGGGGACCGUAAGGCCUCGCGCGAUCGGAGCGGCCGAUGUCAGAUUAGGUAGUUGGUGGGGUAAAGGCUCACCAAGCCGACGAUCUGUAGAUGGUCUGAGAGGACGACCAGCCACACUGGGACUGAGACACGGCCCAGACUCCUACGGGAGGCAGCAGUGGGGAAUUUUGGACAAUGGGCGCAAGCCUGAUGCAGCCAUGCCGCGUGUAUGAAGAAGGCCUUCGGGUUGUAAAGUACUUUCAGCGGGGGGGAAGGCGGUGAAGUUAAUAACUUCACCGAUUGACGUUACUCGCAGAAUAAGCACCGGCUAACUCUGUGCCAGCCGCCGCCGUAA